GCUGAUAAGCGACGUAACCCAGUAGAAAAAUGGCAAGUUUCUGAAAUGAUAGUCGUCUAAUGAGGCUUAGUAUUUUUUGAAAUAAUUGUCUGGUAGCCAAUUUGAGACAAAACUGAAAAUUUACAAUCCACUCAACUGUUCCGCAGACUAAUUCGUAACUAGUUACAAAAUUAUUCAUCGCAAUGUUUGUCUUCGGCGGUCAACGAAAUAUUCGCUUUGUUAGCAGCUGCUUGCAUCACAGAUAAGCAACACAAAUGCCUAUACAUACCUACAUACAUACAAGUGGAUACACACAGCUGGCAAAAUGACUGCGGGUUUUCUUCUAGAGUCUGAAUUGGAAUAUAAUAUUAGUUUGACGUGAGCCCUACUGUAACAGCAACCUGAUAGUCAACCACCAGCUCAGCCGACAUUUUUUUCUAAUCAUCAGAAAAAUUUACUUUAAUUAUUAUCUGGUUAUAUAAGUAAUAAAAUCCACUGAAUUUAAUAAACAUUUUUUUCGUUAUUUUCACAGAAAAAAAUCUUGAAUUUAC